AGUGAACGCUGGCGGCAGGCCUAACACAUGCAAGUCGAACGGACGCACAGUAAGAGCUUGCUCUUACGGUUGGCGAGUGGCGGGCGAGUGAGGAAUACAUCGCAAUCUACUUUUUCGUGGGGGAUUACGUAGAGCAACAUACACUAAUACCGCAUAUUAUCUACGGCUUAAAUCAGAGGUUCUUCGCACUCUUCCCGUCUCAUUUAGCUGGCGCCGCAUUAGCUAGUUGGCUGGGUAACGGCCCACCAAGGCAACGAUGCGUAGCCGACCUGAGAGGAUGAUCGGCCACACUGGAACGGAGACAGGGUCCAGACGCCUACGGGAGGCAGCAGUAGGGAAUCUUCCGCAAUGGGCGAAAGCCUGACGGAGCAACGCCGCGUGAGUGAUGAAGGUCUUCGGAUCGUAAAACUCUGUUAUUAGGGAAGAACAUAUGUGUAAGUAACUGUGCACAUCUUGACGGUACCUAAUCAGAAAGCCACGGCUAACUACGUG
rnacentral:rRNA from 1 species